rnacentral:rRNA from 1 species
UUAAGAAUCUUGCACAAUGGGCGAAAGCCUGAUGCAGCGACGCCGCGUGAAUGAUGAAGGCCUUCGGGUUGUAAAGUUCGGUAAGCAGGGAAGAAUAAGCAAGAGGUAAUAUUUCUUGUGAUGACGGUACCUGCCUAAAGCCCCGGCUCACUACGUGCCAGCAGCCGCGGUAAUACGUAUGGGGCGAGCGGCGUUCGGAAUUAUUGGGCGUAAAGGGCGGGUAGGCGGGAAAUUAAGUUAGGUGUGAAAGCUAUGGGCUCAACCCCUAAACUGCAUCUAAAACUGAUUUUCUUGAGUUCGGGAGAGGAGAGCGGAAUUCCUGGUGUAGCGGUGAAAUGCGUAGAUAUCUGGAAGAACACCAGUGGCGAAGGCGGCUCUCUGGCCUAGAACUGACGCUGAAGCGCGAAAGCGUGGGGAGCGAACA